UUAUGGACGGGUUUGCCCCUCACCGUCUUUCUCCUCCAAAUCAUGUUCUUCCUACCAGCUGGCCAGCCAUGGCCGAUCUCCGCCGACCACCGACGCCCCAGCAGAGGUAGCACCGCCCCACUACCUUUCUUUCCCCCAGUCUUCUCUUCCCGGGGGAACCAACCGGAGUUCGACUUGUACCCCGUCAACGCCAUUCCCGCCGCGCCGGCGGAUCCUUCUCCGGCUGCGACCCCCCUCCUCCGGUCACUCUAUUCUGAGUUUUGCAGGUACUAAUCGCAUCCGUGGGGAGUUAAGCUAGCGAUUGGGUUGACCAUGACACGAAUUUUUUCAGAAGUAUCAGGAUUUUCUAGGGUAUUUUUCCCGAAACAGUGCCAAUGCUUGGAUGACUGACGAGGUACACUCAACAUACCUGUGAAAUGUAUGUGUGUUAACACUGGGUGACAUGUGAGAGGUAUUGCUGAGAAAGGUCGUAGAAUUCUUACUGAUGCUCCACCAUGAUGUCUGCAUAUAUCUCUGUCAUGUUGAGAAUCUGAAAAAGGGGAAAAUGUUAAAGUUCUCAUUACCCAAUGAUCUGAUUGUGUUUAUUUAGUUGCAGUUACUAUGAUAGCCUGUUCUAUAUAACUAUGCCAGUUAAGACGGCCCAAUAAUAUUCUGUUCUAAACUUGGCCAGAGAAUGUUUUGGUAAUUAUGUACGAUUUUAUUGUUUCAUACUGUAUGUCUUGGUUGUUAGCAACUCUUUACCGGUAUCACCAUCGUCUCUGUAUUCUCCUUUCUUGUAUCUUUAACAUUUGUUGCAUAUCCAUAGUUGUUCAUGGAUGAGCAUGAUAUUAAGUUUAAAUUUCUUCAUCUCAAAACUGAUAAGUAAAGCAUAUGUGCACUCCUUAGCACAAGGUUCAGGGAACUUGCCUCCAUCCAUGGAUAUGUACGAGCUAGCUCCCAGGUUCCAUAGCCACCAUUUGGAUUCUGCAUACAACUCAGUGUCAAAUAAUUUUACUCUUUACUAUGCUUGACAUUGGUGUAAAUUUGGAACAUAACUGUAAUAGCUGUUUCAUGAACCAAAAUGCUAUUAGUCAACUCAACGCCUAUGCUUGCACAAGUACUGAAACUCAAGAACUGAUGUUUCUUUUUCCUGAUAUGUCCUGUAAGCAAGCGUGGGCUCUUGGUUCAAUGGACAAGAGUAAAUACUGCUGAGACUGAAUCUGCCUUUUCUUAUAUUGCUUUAGUGGACAAGUAUCCCUUUCUACUGCAUAGACCAUGGUAUGCAAUAAGUAAAUUGUGUGGUUCCACACCUGUAAAGAUAGUAAUAUGUUCACUGCAUCAUGGAAGCGGUAAGUUUCCAUCUGAUUACCCACAAUAUCUGAUGGGAACUUUGAGAGCAUUAACAAAGCCUGAAACAAAAGAAAUACAAAAUCUUUAAAGGCUGAAACAAAAGGAAAUGCAUUAGUUUGUAGCAAUAUGUCCAUUCUGUAUUUUCCACACAUGGUUUGGGUCUUUUACUGGUGUGAAGCAUAAGAACAUUCGGCAGCUAAUAGUACAGUUAAGGGGUGAACAUUGUGACACAUAUUUUUGUCCCUUUGUUUUCAUUUUCUGGUUAACAUAUCUAUUGGAACAAAUUAAACCCAGGUACAUGUGUAAUGCAAAAAUAGAGUCAGCUCAAUUCAUAUCUUCAUCAAGUAGUUCUAGUUUCUUGUUCACUCUUUUGCAUCCUUAAUUUUGAUAUCACACCUUAAGAGCUUCUGCCGUGCAAUCUGAAACCUGCCAGCCCUGAUCUGCAACCUGGAAGGCCCAUCCUCCUUUAGAUAUGUGACGGUAGUUUCUGCUGAAGUCACCAGAAGGAUUGUCCACAAUCUUAAAAUUUAAGUUAGUAGAGUUAAGAUUUAAUUCAAGAUAAAUACAAGUGAAAAAAUUCAGUUCUGGAAACUAAUACCUGGGAUGCUUUUAUGAAAUUGUGAGAUUUCCUGAGGGUACUUCCAAAUUCCUCUGCAUUGUUACAUGCUAAUAUUGCUUGGACGGCAAAAGCAACAUCCCAUAGUUGACCUGCACAUACCUUUGAAUGAACAAUAACAUGCAAUAUCAGUUUGUGCACAAAUAUCAGCUUGACCCCAGAUGCAUAGCUGGAGGAUAAUAUAAUCUAUACUGUGGAAACAGGGGUUAUCAAACAUGUAAAUUUUACCCGCACUUUCAUGCCAUCUUCACCGACCCAUAGGAAAUCAGCAACUCUAGCCAAGUGAUGCUUGAAUGCAUCUGAAUUGGGAUUCUCAAUCCAACAGCAUAACAUGGACAAUGCCUGUAAUUUUUAUUUUCUGUAAGAAAAUGAUGUUCAUCUACAGUGCACGUCCUAGAAUAUAAAAUCUCCACUGAUGCAAAAGUAUUUCUAAGACUAUGCUUGUAGGUUGUAAAUUCAGCACUAUAUUAUUUUCAGAAGACUAAGUCUAACCUUCUGUGCAGCACCGAUGCAGAUAUACUGUGAAUUCUCAUCUUCAUAUUUCAAGAACUCAGCAAUUUGCUGUAGAGCUUUCCUUCUCAUGUAGGAAACUGGCCAACGUGCCAGAAAAGGUUCCCCAAAACUGUAAAGGCAGUCGGACAGGCAUUCUUGCAGCCAGGUACAUCAUUGGAUCGAUCCAGAGCAGAAGAAAAUCAGUAGAGGACCAUGCACAUUGAACACCCACGCUGAAUGAACUGCAGUUUCAGGACUAUACGACAUGUGCAAAGGUGGGUUGGAGAAUGUUGUGCAUCCGGUCAGACUAAGCAGCAUCAAUGCAGAUUAUUUAUCCCGUGGGGUGAUCACAUGGAACCGAUGAGCCCUUUGCACUUUCGAGCACGGAGCCUCCCCGCAACCGCAAGCCGUGAUGGAGGGAGCUUGCUUCGCAGCUGAAAACCAGGGGAAAUGGCUUAUGUGUGCACCUCAUGCGAUUCUUGCAUGCCGUGUGACGGUGUGAGUGUGGUGUGCAGAAUCUCACUUGAUCAUUCGCUUACUCCAGUAGUUUUAUAGGUUGAAGGAACGAAGAAAUGUGAAUUUCUAAAUAUGGUCCGUCGAUGUAGUGGCGUUUCUGACAAUUUUUUUUUAAGUUGAUUCCGCUUUUGACUUUGUAAAUCCUGGGAAGGCCGUAAUAUUUCUGUAAAGUCGCUGCAUGGCAGAGAUGGGUCAAACUAGCCAUUAGUUAACUCGAGAUGCUCAAUAUCGAACCAGAACAAAUGGUCACA